rnacentral:tmRNA from 1 species
GGGGGCGAUACGGUUUCGACGUGGGUAGUGAAGGUUCAGUGGCGCGAUCGCUGGUGCUCGUAACGGCGCUAAAAUACGAGCAAAUCAGAGAAGCGAACGAUAACGCUCUCGCUCUCGCCGCCUGAAAAGCCGGUGAGACGUUCUCUAGGCGAGUCUGCCUGUACUCUCCUAGGGGGCGCAAUUGAACAGGUUGCCGCGCGGCGACCGCUCUCCGAGUCGCGCGAAAGAUAAAGGCGAGAUAACUCAGAAAAAAGCCUGUUUGUCGGCGAGUUUCUGGGUGAAUUAAAAGACAAACUACAUCGCGUAGAAGCUGCACUUGAUCACCUGCGGACCCGGGUUCGACUCCCGGCGCCUCCACCC